AACGAACGCUGGCGGCAGGCUUAGCACAUGCAAGUCGAACGCAUCCUUCGGGGUGAGUGGCAGACGGGUGAGUAACGCGUGGGAACGUGCCCUUCAGUUCGGGAUAACCCAGGGAAACUUGGGCUAAUACCGGAUACGUGCGAGAGCAGAAAGAUUUAUCGCUGAAGGAUCGGCCCGCGUCUGAUUAGCUAGUUGGUGGGGGAAUGGCCCACCAAGGCGACGUUCAGUAGCUGGUCUGAGAGGAUGAUCAGCCACAUUGGGACGGAGACACGGCCCAAACUCCUACGGGAGGCAGCAGUGGGGAAUAUUGGACAAUGGGAGCAAGCCUGAUCCAGCCAUGCCGCGUGAGUGAUGAAGGCCUUAGGGUUGUAAAGCUCUUUCGUCCGGGACGAUAGUGACAGUACCGGAAGAAGAAGCCCCGGCUAACUUCGUGCCAGCCGCCGCGGUAA
rnacentral:rRNA from 1 species